CUGCAUGGUCACUGCACCUUCCUUCUUCUUCCUCUUCUUUUUCUUCUUCUUCUUCUUCUUCACUCGUGCAACCCAGUUGUUCCUUCUCUUCUCAAUCAGCCACCUCUCUUUCUAAUAAACCCUUAUCGAGUUUUCUUAAAUUCUUUUUGCUAACCACUCAAUCUCCUUCAAACGAAUCUGGACUAUUCUUUCUACCUCUUCAUCUCGGCCGUUUAUUUUUUGCAAUAUGGAUCA
rnacentral:lncRNA from 1 species